rnacentral:rRNA from 1 species
GGGCCCGCACAAGCGGUGGAGUAUGUGGUUUAAUUCGAUGCAACGCGAAGAACCUUACCAGGGUUUGACAUCCUGCGAAUCUCUUGGAAACGAGAGAGUGCCUUCGGGAACGCAGUGACAGGUGGUGCAUGGCUGUCGUCAGCUCGUGUCGUGAGAUGUUGGGUUAAGUCCCGCAACGAGCGCAACCCACGUCGUUAGUUGCCAGCAUUUAGUUGGGCACUCUAGCGAGACCGCCGGUGAUAAACCGGAGGAAGGUGUGGAUGACGUCAAGUCAUCAUGCCCCUUACAUCCUGGGCUACACACGUACUACAAUGCUACGGACAAAGGGCAGCAAGUUCGCGAGGACAAGCAAA